ACGCAAACACACUCACACGGAUACACACUCACACAUGUGCACACACUUACACACACACACACAAGACCCCUGGGACGUACUGCAGCAAGGGAGAGCAGCACCCAACACCAAUGUCUGGAAGCAGGAUGAUGAAAGAGACACUCACGUCAUGGAAGAAAUAAAUCAAACACUGAAGGCUCUGGAGAAGCUGCUGGGCAAACAUCCAUGAACCCCUGAUCCCUGCAAUGACAUGCAAUAAAGUAGCGAGAUGCUUAUAAUGUCA